rnacentral:rRNA from 1 species
AUGUGCAGGAAAAUGAAGGCGCGGGAGCGCGACACCGCCGAGGUGGAUGCGCUGCGGGCGGAGCUACGCAAGGCCAAGGCCGUGCUCGCCGAGACCAAGGCGGACGCGGGGAUUGCGGCGGCGGCGGCGCGUGGGCUCCGGGAGGAGUUGGAUAAGAAAGUUACAAACCUAGAGAAACAGUACAAGUUUUCUUCCGCGCCUUCGAGCUCCUCGUCGCCGACGAGCGCCUGCGCAUCCAGAUUUACUAUUCCAGGGAGGGCCGCUGGGGCCCGUCCGCGCGGCGCUCCCCCGCCGCCAGUCCAGGCCGUUCCACGACUCCUACCCCCUGGUCAUCGGCCGCACCGUCCACUGGCUGUGCAACACUGCAAUCCGGAGCCGCUGCCGCCGGGGAGGCACCUGUCUGGCCCGGAGCCGUACAUCGUCGCCGUGGACGUCGACACCAUGGAGGCCACCGUGAUUGAUCUGCCGCGGGGCUGCACUAGCAGAAUGACUGCCUCUAUGAGCCACCGGGGCCUCCUCCUGGCCGCUUCGGUGGACGGGAGCUCAAGGUUGUGGUCUCGGAGACCCAGGUUAUAUCAAUGUGGACCAUGUUACCACCCAUCGAGGGGGAGCCGAGCUCGCCGCCGAGAUGGAUCCGGCAGGUGCUGA